rnacentral:lncRNA from 1 species
AGUGCUGCUGGUGCCGGAGUCCGGAAGCUGACGGCGGUGCGUGGAAAUCGUCGCGGAGUUCAGUGUUUUGCUUUUGGGGAUCACAAACUCAGGGGCACACUGGCCCGGCGGGCGCAUCCAGCCGUUGGCGUAUGUGUGGGCAGAAAAUGCAGACGAGAAAGUGGGUGGCGCUUGGCUAAUGCGGGCUGGAGCCCUUGACUUGGAGUGCCCAGUCCAGCGCCGCGGUCCUACAGAGGCCCCUGGGAUCUGAGCUGGCGAGGGUGGCGCGGCGGGUCCUACCCAAGGCCAGAAAGUUCGCUGCGGUCCCAGCUCUUUUGGGCAGCCUCUCUGAGGUAGAGCUCUCAGACGGUCUUCAGCCCGGUGGAACGCCCUGGUGUCCCACUCCACCCGUUCAUCCCGACUUCCUGGGCCGUCUCUAGAGCCCAGUUGGUAGUUGGGCCCAGUUGGCAUAUGUUUCAGAUGAAAAAUUCAUUACGGACUUGAGAUGCUAGGUUGGAGACAAAUCUCAUGUCAGUGGCAGAGAAAGAAUUCGAAGCUGUGCUUUCAUUGAGGGGAAGGGCCAGAAGACCCAGCUCUAGGUUUUUCUGACAAGCACAAGUUUUGGGGAAGUCCCUGUGCUUCACUAGCCUCAGUUUUCUUCCUAUAAUGGGGGUAGGGCUUUUCCUACCUACCUCAUUCACUUUGUGUAGAGUUAAAAGUAAUACACAUUUUGCCAAUAAUGUAUUCACUGCUUGAACCAAAAACUACCCUAAUGUGUUGUAGAACAACUUUGGCAUGUAUGAAGGCCUUGUAAAUGUUGAUGAUGAUGAUGCUUAGAAAUGCCUCUCAGCAUUUUGACGUAGCCUGCCUCCCAACCUACUGUAUUCCCAGGAGAUACCACCCCCAUCUUUAUUAUAACAGAGGCAUCCUGAAAUGAAAUGAGAGAGGAAGAAUAUCACUGAACUGGUGGACUUCUUGAAACCCCCGGCAAAAAGCCUUUUUUCAAUGACGUAGGGAGCAAUGGAUUAAUCAGUUCACAAAUUGUUAUGUUUGGUUGGGAUGAUGUGUCAUGGCCCUAUGUCAGAGCGCUACUCACCACACGUUUGUGGAACCCAGGGAGUUAAAAAACAACCUAUGGCGACUGAGGUGUGGAGCUGGGGAAGGAGCCUAUGUACGUAUGUGGCAAGUGUGACUGCAAAGAUAGGGAAGUGCUUAAACACAGGCUUGCAGAGUGAAAGCUUCCUUGUGGAUUUGUGUUUUCUUAUGAUUGAUUGAUUGAAACAAGUUCUCCCUCAGUUGCCUAGGCUGGAUUGCAGCGGUGCGAUCAGGACUCAUUGCAUCCUCAACCUCCCCGACUCAAGCAGUCCUCCCACCUCAGCCUCCUGAGUAGCAAGGCUACAGAAUCUCAUUCUAUCACCCAGGCUGGAGUGCAGUGGUGCAAUUAUAGCUCACUGAAGCCCUGACCUCCCAGACUCAAGCAAUCUUCCUGCCUAAGCCUCCAAGUAGCUGGGACUACAAGUGUGUGCCACCAUGCCCAGCUAAUUUUUGUAUUUUUUGUAGAGUUCAGGGUCCCACAAUGUUGCCCAUGCUGGUCUUGAACUCCUGGGCUCAGGUGAUCCUCCUGCCUCAACCUCCCAAAGUGCUGGGAUUACAGGCAUAUUUUCUUGGCUGGAAGCCUCUUGCAUUCUGGAGGUCCAAUAGUGCUUCUACACCUCUGUUGGAACUUCCUGGCUCCUGAAAGAGUUUGGUCAUUCCUUCCUCCCUUCCACAAACAUUUACUGAGCACCUGCUAACUUCCAGAUACUUUGUUAAGCUCUUAGGUCCCGAAGAAAGAUUGGGCCACCUGAACUGGUCACAUGGCAGCACCCCUGACUUCUAAAAGGUUAUGGUUUGCUUGGGAAGACAGAGAAGUUAACACAUAAUUUCAGCCCCAUGUAAUAAAUGCAGGGGCAGAGGUCACCAUGGGGUGAUGUGAGAGGACAGAGCAGGGACAUGCACUUUGCUAUGGGUCUGCUGGAAGGGGUGGCCAGGGACAAUUCCUGGCAGGGAGGGCUCAGCAAUUGCAUAUUGAAGACAAUAUUUCUCAAUUCUUGAGACCUAAGAAUCACUAUUCAUGCUUCUGUUCUAGAAGCCCCAAAGGCCGUGGCUAAUGACCAAAAAUGUUUGUAUUUUGCCAGCCAAAUAUGCUUGGAAGGCAGAAAAGUAGGCUGGGCUUUCUGAGUGAGUUUCAUCCCCAUGGGCAGAAACAUAUCCUGGCGUUCCCCAUGGUCUUCAGAGUAGCACUCAGGUCUGUCCACGGAGGGACAAGCCUGCAAGUCUGAUGCCACAGUGGCCAGGGCAAGGAAGUUCACGAAGCCCUAGGCAGGAAGUGAUAACCAAAGAUAUAGAAAGCCAAUUGGCCCUCCAUUUCUGUUAUCUGGUGUAGAAAGUAAUGCUCUGGAUACCAAGGUUGGCUUCUUAGUUAAUGCUUUGACCAAAGGCCAGUAAAUCUUCCUCAUGAUUGCAGCAACAUUUUCAAGAACCCCGACUUAGAAGCCUGUGGUGCCAUCCAGGCCUAUGCCUGAGAUGGAAUCUGGAUGUGCCCUGUACCACAUUUCUCCUGUCCAUUUCUUGUUACUGUAUUUUCCUCUGGUCCUUAAUAUCUGUGCUAAUUUUCUGUUCCAUUUUGUUCUCCCUCAGGAAGCCCUGAAAGUAACUUCAAAUCUCAUGAAAAGCCAAACAGCUAGCUCAGCUUUGGGGGUUCACAAAGAAGCAAAUAUUAGCUUUCCAAAAUGAGGCACACAUUCACUUCUUAAACUUUCAUGCAUAUAAUGUUAGACCCCAAGAAGGUGGUCUCUGCCCACUUUGAGGGUUCAGAGACCCUUGAGAAUAUAUGAGCACUGAGAUCACAACAGUGAGUCAGUAUAUUUGGUGGGGAGGGAAUGGCCCCAGCUCCUCAGUUUUACAGCUAAGUGAUCUAUACCACCUUACUCUGCUGAAACUGACUUCAAGAAGAGGCUAAAUGAAACCAGUUCCUUCUGAAGGGGAUAACUGAGAAAUUGAAAUGAAUUUGUUCAGAAGGACCUAGGACCUUCCUUCUAGUACUCAUUUUUAAUAGUGAUAAAACUAGGGAUCAGUAAAAUGGAAGUAGGAAAAGCAGAAUUAUGAAGCCCAUUUACUUGUAUUGUACAACUGUUGUAGCCAUUUAACAUCUGGCUUCUCAUUUGACCUACCAAGAGUGAUGGUGUGGAGUGCAGUAAUGAGACCAUCACCUCCAUCCUUCAGAUGAGGAGGCCACGUUUUAAUACUGCUAUAGGGCACAGUCAGGUGUAUACAGCUUGUCAGUGUAGCAGAGCAAGAUUUUAAUUCAAGAUUUUAAUUCAAGCAGAGCGAGAUUUUAAUUCUCUGAUACAAAGCUCAGUAGUGUUUCCAGGAUAUAACUUAUCCAAAACACAUUUAUUGAGCAACUGCCAUGGCCCUGGCCCUGGGCUGGGAUGUGGGAGAAAGGAGACUCCUGAGAGGAAUAUUAGAGGCAGACAUAGUAAGGGCCAUGAGUGCAAAUUCAGGUCAUGGGGCUCAGAGCAGCAGUGACCAUCUCAAACCAGGGAUCAAGACAGGCUUCAAAGGAGAAGAGGUCCUUAACCUAGGCACUGAGGAUGGUCAGAAUUCAGGCAGGAAUUAAGGAAGCAGUGCUUACCCAACAGGACAUUAGGCAAACUCAUCACUACAGGGGCAUCUCUUAUGUGGCAUUGCACAGUGUCAGAGGGACAGACAGUGUUCAGAUGGAUGUGAAGGGGGCUCAAAAGACAGCUGUCUUUGUGGGGAUUUGGCUCCGGUGUUGUCAGUAUCCCUUGUUGGCCUCCUUCUCAGGCCUUGUCCUGUUUUGUCUCUGGUACAGGGUGGUUUGGGCUGCUGAGACGUGGCAUGUUGCUGAUACUGGUGACAGUGGCCCUGAGCACAGUGUGGCUUCCCCAGCCUAGGUUCACAGGAUGUGCCUCUUCCUCCUUAGCACUUAGCUGAACACCGCGAGAGGAGGCUGUAGAGCAGCUCCCUGGCCUCGAUGCUGCUGUCGGGAGAAACACCAACCUUUUAGCAGUUUGCAGAGGCUCUCUUUUAUCUGGGCUGUUCUCAGAUGUGAAGGACACAGAGCAGAAGAUGUCUGAAGGCCUGGUUAGCAGGGGGUGAGGGAGAGGAGGAGGGGGAACUGAAAUUCAAAGCCAAGACCCUCAUCAGCACUGCUCUGUGGCAGCUCAUCAGUUCUCCCUCUUCUCACCCGCAUGGGAGCCCAUGCAGGCCUGCUCUUGCCUGGCUCUGGCCUCUGCAGCAUCUGUUAGCAAUGAAUAAAGAAGAGGUGGAGGGGAGCAGGGCUAUGGGUGGGGGCAGGAGGAAGGUCUACUUAAACACAAUGUGUUUGCUCACACACAUAAAACCACAGGCCUCCUGGAGGCGAGCACCCCGCCAGGCCCCCCUCAUUCUUGAAUUUGUUAUUAGGAACACGCAAUCUAGGCCGGCCUCAGUCCUCAUUUCUUACAUAGCGAGGGGCUUGGGUAAGGAGGGUUAGUUCUUAGGGCCUUUCCUGGGCUGACAUCCUGUGUCAGAGGUGAGAGGUUUGCUGGCAUAGUUCUGAGAACUGACCAGUCCUCACUCAGGCACAUGGUGCUGCAGGACACACAACAUCUCUAGUCUGUGAAGGAGGCUGGGUCUUCUCUAGGCUCCACAGAGGGUGAAGCAGACAUUCUGGAGAAAGGUUCCAUACAGCCCACAGGGGACAUCUGAUUCUCCACCUUGGCAGGUAAGAUCUCCAGGCUCUGAUGUCAGCUUUCCCAUUAUUCUCAUUAAGUGGCAUCAUGUUUAUUUCAAAGUCAUGACCUCCAGGAAAAUAAGAGGGAACAAGAACACUGAAAAUGUCCCGAAGCCCAAGUUCAGUCACUAGAAUAUUUCUGGAAGCUGGACUGUUAAAGGUGAUAUUAUAUAUGGAAUGAAACAGUUCCAUUAUUUCUCUUAGCAAGUGACUCCCCUUAGGAAAUUAUUGAGAGUAGGCAAAGAGUUGGAACCUCCCCAAAGUCCCUCAGGAUUAUGAAAUGGGAAAAGGAAACAAAGGCCCAUCCUGCCCCCUCCUUUCUGUGCUCCUGAGGAAUGAGUGUCCUCUCACAGGCUGUGCAGCUUCUGUGCUGGCCCCAUCCAUAGCAGGGCUCAUGGCUGGAUCUGAGACCCUCUGCUGGCCUCAUCCAUGGCAGGACACAUGGCUGGACCCAAGACCCUCUGCAGACCUUACAAUGAGAGAAUGAAGAAACACACCUCACCUCGGACUUCUCAUGCUCUGAUGAUCUGGUGACCAAGUUCUGAGAGAUUCUUGCCAGGGUUUCUAUUUUUAAGACCCUCCACUGCCUUUGGGUGGUGAGUAGGUGAGAGAUAGGAAGGAAGACGGGCAAAGAGGAGCAGAAUGGAAUAAGACAAGGGAGUUAACGGUGUGGACAUUUUGUAUAUCUGAUUCAGAAUGAAGUGACGAACCCACCAGUAGGUAGACUGCACACGAGUAGAAGUUAAAGCAGGGCACAGGACAGGGACACUGGUGCAGGGGAAGCCCCAGGAGCAUUGUGAAGGGAUGUAGCUACAUCUCAGUUUUUGGCAGGGCAGUGCUGACUGUCCCCCAACUACAGCCAAAGGGUCAUCUUUGCUGAGCAAGUUAGAUACCCUGUGCCCCUGUUAUAAACUCUGGAAGUUCUGCCAUCACUGACCCACUAUUGUGACCCUAGAAAUUAGCCUGUUUCUAGGGUCCCAAGUUUCCCGCAUAUCUCUAAAUUGGAGAUUCCAUUACCCAGACCCCUCUGCAGCCUUGGGGAUUAAUGAAAGCCUUGUUCACAAAUGUCUCGGAAUCCAUAAAGGUUUAGAUCGAUAAUUAACAAGAAGGAGAAGGCAUAAACAUUUCAAAUAUAUAUCAACUCCCUAAUCUAUAACAGCCAAUAAGUCUAAAAACUGAGUGGCCACAAUUUCCCUCAGUGACAGGCAGCCCAUGCACUUUCAAAAGUAAUUCUUCAUUAGGCAUAAAUUACCACUUGGGGAAACCUUCCACGGAUGCCAUGGCUGUGGAUUUAUUAAGUGAAAAUGAAACUUUUAAAUAAAUAUCUGGAACAAAAAAUGUAUUUCCCAUCUAAUCGGGCCAUGAGGCGGGAGUGUUUAAAGUGCUGUGGAGGCUGGACUUUGAGAGCAGAAACCUGGGCACAUUUCUUUAGAAGCCUUUUUGCUGAGUCAGUCACUGGCAUGCCAUCUCCCUCUCCAACUCCCCAAACACCUGGAUCCUCCUGACAUUAGCCAAGAGCAAUAAGGGCAGAGAAGUCCCUAGGGGAGAGCCUUCCCAAACCCUUAGGGAAUCUGAUAGGUUCUGAGGCAUCUUGUUUCUCUAGGAAGAUCUUGAUUUGGGAUCCGCAGUCAGAUUCUCAACCAGGGGACUUCAUGUAUCCACCUUCCCAGCCAAAUGUUCCUGCCAGCUUGUCUUCCCCUUAAGGGCAGAAGAAGCCAGUUCAUUUAGUUCCUACGAAAUAAUCCUCAUGAGAGACCAAGGGAAAACAAAAUGUGAGACGGAAGGAACACAUCAAAAAUCUAACCAGCUCCACAGAUAUUUGAUGGCAUUCCUGUAGUGCAGGCAGCAAUGCUCAGUGAACACUAUUUGUCUCUCCAGCAGUGAUUCUAGCCCUUCCAUAUUGUGGAGCUUCCUACUUCCAGUUUCAGGGUCCUGAUUACAUGAUAUAGAUCAUGGUCAUUCCUACAUCUCUUGCUAGAGAAUGGUGUAAAACUCAGCCUAAGCUAAUCCACCAUGGGGCCUUUCCUGUUGGCAAUAAUUUAUCUAGAAAUGGGCAAGAAACAUACUUUCAAACCAUGAGCUGUAAGAGGAUACUUUCUCGGGGCUUUUGGUAAAAAAUUUCCUUAGACAAAAGGAAAACUUCAAGGACACCUGGUCUAUUGCUGCUGUUGACAAUCAUGAGGAAGUGUUGGUAUUGAUGGGUAUCCUGUGAUAGCAAAGGGAACUAGCCUUAGGAUAAAGCUGAAUCUAUGGCAGAGAGAACAGUGAUGAAACCUAAACUGGUCCUUUAUGACCUUGUAGAUGGACUAGGUUAAUCUUCUUUUCCCUUUGGAAAUUCAAAUUAUAACACUGGAGCUCUUCAAGUACUAUGAGAGAUGGGGUAUCUCAGAUCGUUGAUCCUUCCAGCUUAUUACUGGAGGAGAUGUCAUGGCUAGAAACAGUGACAGUUGCGCUGAAAACCAGCUUUUCACUGGGGAAGAGACUCAGAAUCACAUAAAAAGAAAUUGUCUCCUCUAAGUAAAACUCUUUAUAAGUUUCUUUUUUUUUAAUAUUUUACAUUCUUUUUUUAUUUUUUUAUUUAUUUUUAUUUUUAUUUUUUAUACUUUAAGUUUUAGGUACAUGUGCACAUUGUGCGGGUUAGUUACAUAUGUAAACAUGUGCCAUGUUGGUGCGCUGCACCCACUAACUCGUCAUCUAGCAUUAGGUAUAUCUCCCAAUGCUAUCCUCCCCACUCCCCCCACUCUACCACAGGCCCCAGAGUGUGAUAUUCCCCUUCCUGUGUCCAUGUGAUCUCAUUGUUCAAUUCCCACCUAUGAGUGAGAAUAUGCGGUGUUUGUUUUUUUUUGUUCUUGCGAUAGUUUACUGAGAAUGAUGAUUUCCAGUUUCAUCCAUGUCCCUACAAAGGACAUGAACUCAUCAUUUUUUAUGGCUACAUAGUAUUCCAUGGUGUAUAUGUGCCACAUUUUCUUAAUCCAGUCUAUCAUUGUUGGACAUUUGGGUUGGUUCCAAGUCUUUGCUAUUGUGAAUAAUGCCGCAAUAAACAUACGUGUGCAUGUGUCUUUAUAGCAGCAUGAUUUAUAGUCCUUUGGGUAUAUACCCAGUAAUAAGUUUCUACCUAGAAUAUUCCUGAACAGUCUCCUAGGAAAUACAGAAGGAUAUUCUUGUAAGCAGAAGCCAAUCAAAAAACUUUAAUGGUGCUGAAACCUUAGAGUAUUCGCAAAAUUGUAAAUCUUAUCUGGGUUCAAAUAGAUCAUGUUAUAGCUUUUUUUUUUUCACUUUCUGGUCUCAAAAAUGGUGAUAGUUGAUGAAUUCUUUUUCUUGUUCAGAGUCCCUAACAUAAUACCAAAGACCGGGAUACUUCAACAUGCCCAUUUUCUUUAACAUUUUCAAAGAAAAUAUUCAACAGCCUUCUAAUUUUCAGAAUUGCAGGUCAUUCUGGAUCAAUUUCACCACAUCCGAAUCCCUUAAGGAGUAAAAACACUCACAAUAAACUGGGAUCUCAAGAAAACAAUUAAAUAUAUUGGAAGAAAACCUCUGUGGUUUUUCUGUAAAAAAAAACCCAUUACUACACAUAUGAGGGUAAUGUUGACUCCCUCACUGGGAAAACUAGCAUUGAACCCUUCUGGUUUGUGUCUGUUAUCCCCCUGGGUUGCAUACUUUGCUUUUCUUCCCUCUGUGACUGACACUGAUCCCUACUUGACAUCAUCUGCAAUACUGUUGAUUCAAUCAUGAAUAGAAAACUGUGAAGCAGGCCAUUACUUUUAUUUUAGUUCAGUGGGUAUUUUGGAGUCCUUUCUGUGUGCAAGACCCAGUGCUAGAUGCUCAGACCUCAGAGUGAAUAUGAUGUAGUCUUUGUUCCCACAGUCUAGCAAGGCAAAUACAUAAAUAUCAUAAAUAUAAAAAUUGAAUACAUAUAAUCUAUGCUAGGAUAGUGGAAACACAGAAGAAGCAUAGUUAAGCCUGCUGGGGUAUAAUUUUGGUGCACUUCCAUAAAGGGUAUCCUGUUAAAGGAUAAAUUUAAAUUGGUCAGAAAAAACUGAGUAAAUUGUAUUGUCCACAUUUCUAGGCAAGCGGGGACUAUUUUAGAUGACAUUGCAGGUUGAGCAUUCCUAAUCCAAUAAUCUGAAUUUCAAAAUGCUCAGAAAUCUCAAACUUUUUGAGUGCCAGUAUGAAUCCAUAGUGUACAUUUUCACAUCUACUUUGAUGUGAUGGGUCAUAAUCAAAAUGCAGGUACACAACACAGCUCAUUCAGUUUGCCAUUGUUUGUUGUUGUUGUUGCCUAACAGCUGAUUCAGGUUUUCUGGUGAUGCUGCUGUGAUGCUUAGUUACCCUGCACACAUUACUUUUGCUCUCUAUUAAUAGUAUGUCAUAUUUUUUACUAUUAAGUACUUAUGUGUAUGUGUGAAUAAGUGUAAGAAAGUGACUGUUUAUGAGUAGCAUAUAAAUUCAGAGUCAGAAAUGAUGGUGACACCAAGCAACCACAGAUGGUUCACAUGAGUGGCUGAGACGGUGAUAUCUUUGCUUUCUGAUGUUUCAAUGUACACAAUUGCUUUAUGCACAAAAUUAUUAGAAGUAUUGUAUAAAAUUAUCUUCGGGCUGUGUGUAUAAGGUGUAUAUAAAACAUAAAUGAAUUUCACGUUUAGACUUGGGUCUCAUCACCAAGACAUAUUAUUAUGUAUAUGCAAAUAUUUCAACAUUAAAUAAAAAUCUGAAAUCUCAACUUCUGGUCUCAAGCAUUUCUGAGAGGGAAUACUCAACUUGUACUAAGUAAAAAUCCACCUCAAAACUUAAUGGAUUAACAAAACAAUAUUGUAACAAUUAUUUUGAAAAUAAAUCUGCAAAUUGAGCAGAGCUCAGCAAGAAUGGUUUAUCUAUGUUCCGUGUGGCAUCAUCUGGGACAGCUCAACUAACAGCUGGAGCAUCUGCUUCCAAGAUGGUUCACUCACAUGAAUGACAACUUAAUGCUGACUGUUGGCUAAGAGGUCAGCCACAGCUGUAUACUGGGAGCCUCAGUUCUCCACUGUGGACCUCUCCACAGGCUGCUUGGGCUUCUUCCCAGCAUGGUGGCUGGCUUCCAAGAGUGAACAUCCCAAGUGAAAAAAGCAAAAGACAAAGAUAUUUUUAUUACUUAGAUUUGCUAGUCACAUAAUAUUAUUCCCACUGUUCUUUAUUGAUCAAAGCAGUCACAAGAUCCUGCCAAGGUCCAAGGAAAGGAGAUAUAAAUCCCAUCACAAAAUGAAAGAAUUGUCAAAAUCACAUAAUAAGAGAAACAUGUGAAUGGGAGAUAUUAUUGUGGACUCUAUGAAAACUCAAUUUGUCAGAGUUUUAUUUCAUCCUUCCAAUAUGUUUACCUUUUAUUUCCCUUUUUUGGGGUCUUAUUGCAUUAGCUAGAACUUCCAGUACAAUGUUGAAAAGAAAUGGUGAGAGGAGGACAUCCUUGCCUUGUUCCUGAUUUUAAUAGAAAACUUUUGAGUUUCUCACUAUUAAGUAUGAUGUUAGCUAUAGGGUUUUUUUGGUAGAUAUUCUUUAUUAAGUUGAGAAAGUUCACCUCUAUUCCUAGUUUAGUAAGAAUUUUUAAGAAUCAUGAAUAAUUGUUGGAAUUUGUCAAAUGCUUUUUCUGCAUGUAUUGAUAUGAUCAUGUGAUUUUUCUUUUUAGCCUGUCGAUGGGAUUAAUUACAUUAAUAGAUUUUUAAAUGAUGAACUAGACUUACCUGCCUGGAGUAAAUCCCACUUGGUCAUGGUGUCUAAUUUUUUGUAUUCAUUGUUGGAUUUGAUUGAUUAACAUUUUGUUGAGAAUUUUUGCAUCUGUGCUUAUUAGAUAUAACAUUCUGUAGUUUUCUUUUCUUGUAAUGUCUUUAUCUAAUUUUGUAUUGGGUUAACGCUGGCCUCAUAGAAUGAGUUAAUAAGUGGUCCCUCUACUUCUAUCCACCAAAAGAGAUUUUAGAGAAUUGGUAUAAUUUCUUGUUUUAAUGUUUUCUGGAAUUAGUUAGUGAACUCUAAUGAGCCUGGUGUUUUCUGUUUUGAAAUUAUUGAUUCAAUUUCUUUAAUAGAUACAGGUUUAUUUAGAUUGUCUAUAUUUUUGUGUGUGCUGCUUUUGGCAGUUAUAUCUUUCAAGGAAUUGGCCAAUUUCACCUAGGUUGUCAAAUAUGUUGGCAUAGAAUUGUUCAUGUUGUUCUUUUAUUAUCUUUUUGAUAUCCAUGGGAUCUGUAGUAAUGUCUCCUCUUUUAUUUCUAUUUUUUUUUGAUAAUUUGUGUCCUCUCAUUUAUUUGAUUAGUUAACUUGGUUAAAGACUUAUCAUUUAAAAAAUAUCUUCAGAGAGCCAGCUUUUGGUUUCUUUUCCUUGAUUUUUCUCUUUUGAUUUGUUGUUUUCAAUUUCUUUGGAUUCUGUUCUAAUUUUUACUAUUUCUUUUCUUGUGUUUACUUUGGAUUUAACUUCCUUUUUAUUCCUUAGUUUCCUGAAGUGAAAUUUAGAUUAUUGAUUUGAGAUCUUUCUUCUUUUCUUAUAUGUGCAUUCAAUUUGUAAAUUUGUUUCUAAGCCCUGCUUUCUGCUGCAUCCCACAAAUUUUGAUAAGUUGUUUUAAUUUAACUUUAAUUUAAAAUGUUUUUGAACUUUUUUCAGAUUUCUUGUUUAACCUAUGUGUUAUUUAGAACUCUGUUGUUUAAACGCCAUCUAUUUUGAGGUCUGCUAGCUACCUUCCUAUUAAUAAUUUGUAGUUUAACCUGGAGAAAACUAAACUUUUCAAUCUGUUAGUAUCUUUUGCCUUCCUUAUGAUAUAAUUUAUUAGCACAUUUAAAAUUUUAGUUUCAGAUUGAUGUGAAAGUUUAUUUUUCUCACAUUCCCCUUUAUAUGUUUUCUUACUAAGAAGGUUUUUUGAUGCGAAUUCUUAGUGCUCUUGAACUUACAGGCCAGCCCCACAUCGUCUAGUGGCAUUUUGGCAUCUCUUCUUUGUGGCAGAAUUGUGGGAAUUACAUAUCCCAUCACUGAGCCAGCAGGUAGUAUGGCUCUAUUCUUGGUCUUUGUCUUUGUUUUCCUGCACCCUAUGAUCACUGUCUCCUAUAAGCAUAAGCCGUAGGUAGAAUAUGCAACAGCUUCUUUGGGCUUCAAGUUAUGGUUUGGAACUUAUUCAGUCUUUGAUUUCAGACACUGAAUCCAGCUUCAGUCUUCUAGUUUAUAUGGAUCCAUGUUCCUCCAUGAGAAUGGGAGUACUGACUAUCACUGCUAGAGUCUGAAUUGUGACAAAGAAGGUUUAUGGCUCCAGUUGUGCUCUGUGCUUUGUACUGAAGUUCUAUUUCUGUUCAUGCUGAUAUUUGCUAUUUGAGCCCAACUAUGUCUUUUUGCAUUUCUCUUAUUAUAUUUAAUUUGUCAUUACUAUAUGUUGAAAGCUGAUAAAGUGUACCAGAUAUAAACUUAAUAUGUCAUCUUUGCCAGAAAUCUUCUUAUUUACUAAAUGGAGAAUUGAGGCUCAGAAUGGAAAUGUAUCUUGACGAAGGCCUUAGAGUGAUCUUGUCCUAGAGCCUGAGAGAUACUCAGGUCUUCUGAUUCCAAGCCCUGGGAUUUUUCACUAUUCCCAGGUGCUCAGAAACUGAUACGAGGGAAAGGUCUCAGCAUUGAGCUGCUUCCUGCCUUCUUGUAGGAAUAAACUAGGAGUCAGAGGCAGCCACUGGGGGAUUCAGUUGAUGUUUCCUGAUAAGCAGAGAAGAUGUUUAACAGAUUUCAUCACUGCCAAGUUCAUAUCUGACUCAGAAAUCUUUCUUUCAGCAAGCUGUCAUGAGUCUGAGUUAAGCAUCUCACCCAGAGUGUGCUGUGCCACAUUCAGCAAGGGAUCUUUGUGUUCACCAGAAAAACUAAAGCUCUCUAAAUGGUAUUUUCCAUCUGGAGGCAACAUAGCUUCCUUAUAAAGAAGAAAUAAGAAAUAAAAUUCAUUUUUAAUUUAAAAUAGGCAAACAUUUCAUUGUGUGUUAUACAAAUAAAUUAACACAAAUGUCAACUGAAAAAUGUCACUCAGCUUAAGGAAAAAAUUUCCAUGUCAUUUGUGUUUGGGUAGGAAAGCAGUUCUUCAAAAGCUUGUUGCUGGCAAAUGUCAUCUGAGCAGAGACCCAUUCCUUAUACUAUUGCAUAGCUAUGCAAUUAAAGGCUACCAGACUCACUCAAGUAUGCUAUCACUUAAAAGUCUAUAAAGAUAAAAUUAUCAAGCAAAUUGUUGUCUGAAAUAAAUGAAGAUAUUUUAAUUAGAAUAUAAAGAUAGAUAUUUAUCUUCCUUGUGGUUACUUAACAAAAUAAAAAAAAAAACCCAACCAGGGAAAAAAAUGUUUUUGGUCCAUCUAGCCAUAGCAAAUACUGCAGUCCCUCUAGCCAUAGCAAAUACUGCAGUCAGACCAUGAUAUUAGAGUUUCUUCAUGCCCCAGCUUGACUGUCUUAAUGCACUGAGACUUCUUAUACUUCUGCAUUUGUGUGGCUUGUACCAUGUCCCCUUGUACCCAUGGCUUGUACCAUGUACAUAUGACCCCUCUCUCCCUAAUCCCCAUAACCCCAAGUUCUAAACAAAUCCCUAUACACUUAGAUAUCCACCUCUACUUGCAAAAUGUGCAUUGGAAGAUGAUUUGUUAAGUUCUGUGCAUUGUACCCUUCACAUCUCUCAUCACUCAGCCGUGAUAUAAGUAGGUAUUCAGUCAACCGAAUGCCAGAAGGAAGGUGGUUGCAGAUAAAGGGCAGGCACAACCUCAGAAAGUUGUCAUUACAGAACGUAGCUGCAGGAAGGGGGUAUUUCCUCUGCUAUGUUCCAAGAUUAACACAUGUAGCAGUUGACCAAUGUGAACAGGCCAAGCAGAGGAUGUUUAAAGGAUCAAGUCAGUGUUUGUGUAAUACUUUGAAGACAAAGGUGAAGAUAAUGAGCAAAUUCUUAUUAUCACAAAUAAUCUAAUAAUUACUGUAAUAAUUAUCCUCAUUCAACCAGAGACCAGAAAUAGAGAUUUUCAAGUGUAUUGAGUUUCAUUAAGUAUUACACAUUCUACAGCUAUAGUAGCACUCACUGUGAGAGGUAAAGCAGAUUAAAUAACCAUGAACCACAAAGUCACUCUGCUCACUCCUCAGGUCUCAGAUUGAGUUACCUUUCUCACACCUUGCAACCAAAUUACACAGAGCAAAAAAUGCACUAGAGGUGGGCUGAAAGGAGGCCAGAGAAGGGAGAGGGCAGGCUAGCUCCCAGUUUUUCCAUCUCUGCAUUGUCAAAAGAUAAGUGAAUAUGUCUAAUGAACCAGCUAAUAUCUUCGUGUUAAACUGACAGGUUGUUUCGACAUCUUUAGACACAGCCAAACAAAGAAUGAAAACAAACUGGUAGCCAUGUUUGUAGUUCCUGAUUAUGGGCACAAAGCAACCAAACACACCUGCAAGAAGUGCUAAAAUGUAGGCUUUGAUGAUAGCUUUGUUCAAGAUCCUCAUCAACCUCCUCACCUUCCAUUAAAUUUGUUGUGAUAACGUAACUGUGGGGCAUGUGUUGGUCCUGUCCAGAUCAGAGUCAGACUCACAUUUUACUCUCAAAAACAGGUGCUCAGCUGUAGCUGAAGUGCUCCAUCACAGUCAGGUAGGUAUGAGAGAAUAACAGAUGGGUUCCUAGGCAUACACCAUGCCAGGAUUUAGAGACUAGGCCUGCAUGUGGGAAGAGGUGAUCAAAUAAUCAGGAGGCUUGAUAUUCUGCAUUUAACCUAGUUUCCAAAUCCCAGGGCUUGAAAACCUUGAAUUUUAAAGAUUAAGGGGAGUUUUGUGGCAGGCAGAGAUAUUCUACCUCAUGGACUAGGGAGUAACGUUUGAAAAUUUGAUGUUAUAGAGAUGGUCUAAAAGAAAUUUGAAUCAAUUAAGAGACAACAGUGCAUUAUAUGUUAGGAAGGAAACUGUUAUGGUCCGUUGUCUAGUCACAAUGCAGUUCUACUCCAAAGGACCUCUUGGAGUCCACCUGAGGAAAAAACCCAAGGCUGGAAGGUUGGUGGUCUUGGCAGGUGUCCCUUCUCUGAUGUGGCAAGAAAACCCGUGUUAGCAAGCAUUAGCGCUACCUAAGACACAAGAGCCUGCUUUCCUCUCCUCUCUGCUUUCAGCCUUUCUGGAUCAUUCUUCCUGGAACACAGUCUGGGACCUUGCUUCAGGAACCUUUCCAACUUCUCUAAGAUGGUCAUCAUCAAAUACUCAAACACAUGAGAUCAGUGAGCUCUCAAGACUAAGCGACUGAAAGGGUCAUAUGGUUAAGAGGAGUGGAGGAAAUAGCAACAGUUUUCCCAAAUCACUGGAAUUUUGGUCAAGAGACCUGGAAUAAAGUCUCAUCUGUGUCACCUAGAGCAAGUUAUAUG